GAUUGGAGGCAUAAAUUUUGGUCUACAAAAUCGACAGCUUCGGUGGUGGUGUUCUUAAUAGUGAUUGAAUCUGCAGUAGUUUCUCCAAGAAACACUGACAGAGGUUUCCCAUCUUCAAAGGGGCAUGGGACAGAAGUCACAAUCGGACUCUCUUCAAUUGGAUUACAACUACACACAGAUUGGUCUUCUUGGUAAUCAAUGAACCCAAUUUUACCUUUAUCUCCAAUGACAGAGUACUCAUAAUCAUCCCAUUUCCCAUCAAACGUACCCAUGCCCACAAAAUGGAGUUUAAAAAAAAAAUUCCUUUCAGUUCAGCAAACUGUGAGCAAUCUCAAAAUACACAAACAUAGGAAUAUAGAAGGCACGAUCAAGCAUAAUAGAAAGAUCUAAGCAAGAGCAAACCCACGUCUACUGCCAUUAAUCUUACAUGAAGAGUAAAAAGAAAGGGAAAACACUCACUCACCUUAAAACACCCGCUCAGAGACCAUUCAGUCUCACUCACCCUUGAUUGAGGUCCAGCGCACAGCGGUAAUCACUAUCCACUAAUCAGAGUAGCAUAAGCAUACGGUUAGUACCCUUUUGGCCCUGGGCACCGUAGUAUGAGAGUAACCACUAUGGGCCUCUCUAAAUCACGAGCUGAAGGAUUUCGCGUGAAGAAACUUUAGACCAUUUGAGCUACAGGACAAAUUAUAUGGUAUAUUUACCGAGGCACAGUGGUUUUGGUUGACAAUUUUAAUGCGUAGACUAUCAAUCUUGCGCCGAUUUGCACCUCAACGGAUUACAAUACCAGGCCGCCUGAGACGAUUUACAGCAAAUUUCUUGAUACGGUUCCAACAUCUGUUUUUGGGAUUUUAGGCUUUCUUGAUACCGCAUAUUUCUUAACAUGUUAUAUAAUUUUCCUUAGAACUGAAAUUUCUCCGAAUAUCACAAAAGCUAGUGAACUGCCUGAAAUAACAAUUCCCUCUUCUCAUCCACAUUCUGAUUUCAUCUGGGAAGAUAACACGGUUCUGCAGCAUAAUAAAAGUUCUCAUAGCAGAAUUCACUACCGAAAAUUUCUGUUAAAUUAUACCCAGCUAUCCGCAUCCAAUCCAAGUAAUUCUUAAAUUUAAUUCACUUCCUGCUUCGGGGUAUGGCAUGAUCAUGAAAUAUGGACGUUCGAAAUUAUAACUUCUCAAGAAAAUAAGCAAUAAUAUCGAAAUGCAAGUACAAAACAAGCAUUUGAAACUAGUUCUGGGCAGUCGAAUGUUGCAUUCGCUAUUGGCAACUCAAAUUAAACAUAAUCAAGAAAUGCUAGCCCAGAGCAGAAACAUUCAGGCUGCUACAUCAUUUUUAACAGAUUCACGCCAGGCAUACUCCCUUGCUCCAUCCUUGUCAACAAUCUUGAUCAAAAAGUUUGGUGGUGCCACAACCAACCUGGAUCGGAUCUCCAUUAUGCACUUAUCAACCAAAUCAAUUGCUUCUUCCACUGACAUGCCACUAUGGAAGUGUCUGUCCAUCAUGGAGAGAGAAAAAUAGGAGCCAUACCCAAAUGCUCCCUUUUCAACCUUGUGCAGGGUAGCAAUAUAGUCAAUGUAAUAAAGAGAAGGGCCGGUCUCUUUGUCAUAGCCAGCCAAAAGGAUGUUCACGAAGUAUGGGUUCUUUCUCAAAGCGGUAGCGAGCUCCCCUCGUGUAAAGUUGGCGGCAGCUGCAGUGGUCAAAGGAAUUCCAUUACGAAACUGAUACAGUGCCACGUUCUUCUGUAUGUACUCCGUGAAUUGAACUCUGUCACCGGGCUCGCCGCUAGCGGCGAUGAGUUUGUGGGAAUCAAGGAUCAUGAUCUUGUCUUCGUUGGACUUGUGUACGAGGAUGCUGUGUACGGCCGAUGUAUCAGCCGCUACUAUCGCGAAACCAUUGCCUACUAGUCCAAACACGCACUCCAUUCUUGUUGAUCUGUUUGCUCCUCUAACGUGCUGAGAUUUUUACUGAUUUUAUUAACCCUUCUCUGUAUUGAUUUUGCUUUGGUUAUCGAGGAAGAUGGCAGCUCAUGGAUCUCUUCUUGAGGAACAAGUAGAAAAUUUUGGACAAUGGAAAGGGUAUUUUGGUCAUUGUGGUCCUUCUAUAGAGUAAUGUUUAAGCAUAAGGCAUUU
rnacentral:misc_RNA from 1 species